rnacentral:lncRNA from 1 species
CCCUAUCCGCGCCCCUAUCCGGCGCGGGCCGCUGCGGAAACGCAGCUCUCCACCCCCAGCUGGCUCUCCCGGACCCCCUGGGCCCCACCCUCAGCGCUCCCCACCGCUCGGCGCCCCUGCGUCUGCGCUCCCCUCUCUCCCCUCUCUAUCCACUGGGUCUGGGCCGCACUUCCCGCCCACCCGCCUGCCAGCGGCCGGGAAGCCUGUGGAAGUUAUGGGGAUGCAGGGAGAGGGGGAGAGGGGAGCUUGUGUGCUAGGGGACCAGCCAUUUGAGUCAAGCUGGAGACGACGUCUUAGAACCUAGGAUGAGUCUCGUUUGGUUUUAGUCUGCAAAGCUCGUCUGCAUCAGACAGGAAUUUUCCCCAGACGCGGGUGCACGUGAAUUAAUUCAUCAGAAGGCGGUUCACGGCCUGAGUGAGGGGGACGAGGGCGGCGAAUUCCUCCGCCUCAUUCCUACCCUGACGAUUCGAGAUGCUCGCUUCACCCCACUGAGAUGUAACUCAGUUUUGUGGGAUCCCACUGCCCUCCAGGUGCCGCUCCGAGUGCUCUACACAGAUUUUCAUUCAGUCCUUGCGGCACACGAAGAGUGGCUGUACCAUUUUGCAUUCCCAGACCGAAGUGUGAAAGCUCCAGAUGCCCCACGCCCUCACCAGCCCACGGUGUUGUCAGCCUUAAUAGUGCUGACCAUUCUGCCUGUUAAUAUGAUGAAUUACACUGAUUCAGUUUCAAAUGUCCAACCAAGCUUGCACUCCAGAGAUGAAGCCCACUUGAUCACAUGGAUUAUUCUUUUAAUAUAUGAUGGAUACGACUUGGCUGUUCUUUUGUUGAGGAUUUUUGUGUUUAUGUUAAUGAGGAUAUUAUUUGUAGUUUUCUUUUCUUGUAAUGUUUUUGUCUUUGUUCAGUGUCAGAGUAAUGCCAACUUCAUAAAGUGAGCUGGGAAGUACUCCCUCAUUUUCUGUUUUCUGUGAAAGAAUUGUAUAGAAUUGAUGUUAUUUCUUCCUUAAGUGUUGAGUAGAAUUCACUUGCAAAGCCAUCUGAGGUUGACAUCUUCUUUGGGAAUGACUUUAGCUAUAAAUUCAAUUUAUUUAACAGAUAUAGGGCUAUUAAGGUUAUUUAAUUUUUUUCUUGAAUGAGCUUUAGUGUCCUGUGUUUUUCAAGGAAUUUUUCCAUUUUAUUUAAGUUUUUAGAUUUGUUGGCAUAAAGUUAUCCCAAUAUUUCCUUAGAAGUUGUGACUUUUACUGCAUAUAAAACAUACCUCAAUAAAGCUAAUACAUACAUAUA